CACUUCACUCCUCACCGUGAAACACAAGGAACACAGGAGGAGUGGCAGAUGGAGGGCUGGGAAAAAUGAACAGGGCUACCUUCUGCCUGGACUCACCCAAAAGCCGGUCUCCUGCAGCCUGAAGCUCUUGUACCUCUAGGCUGAAGAUGAUGAGGAUCACAGGAGGAGGAAGGCUGCCAACUUCAUGUUGCUGUUGGAAGGCUUUGGAAAAACACAGCAGGGCUGAGAGCAGCUGAAAUUUAUACCUUCCACCCGCUGAGCUGGAAUGCAAGGCCAGGGGUGGGACUAGGGACUGCAGACACCUAAGCCCUGCCCAGAAACUGACAUUUCUGGAGAAUAGCCACCCACCCUGUGUACCCUGGGUCCUUCUACAUUACCUAAGCAAGGCUCUGAGCCAAGGGAACGCCCUCCUCUGACAGAAAAAUAAGACUCCUACACCAGGCCAGUUGCAGUGGCUCACAUCUGUAAUCCCAGCACUUUGGGAGGCCAAGGCAGGAGGAUCAUUUGAGCCCAGGAGUUCAAGACCAGCCUGGGUAACAAGAGCAAGACCCUGUCUCUACAAAAUUAAAAAAAAAAAAAGUUAAAUAAUGAAAAAGACUCCUAAAUCAAAAAA
rnacentral:lncRNA from 10 species